GACGAACGCUGGCGGCGUGCCUAAUACAUGCAAGUAGAACGCUGAAGGAGGAGCUUGCUUCUCUGGAUGAGUUGCGAACGGGUGAGUAACGCGUAGGUAACCUGCCUGGUAGCGGGGGAUAACUAUUGGAAACGAUAGCUAAUACCGCAUAAGAGUAGAUGUUGCAUGACAUUUGCUUAAAAGGUGCAAUUGCAUCACUACCAGAUGGACCUGCGUUGUAUUAGCUAGUUGGUGGGGUAACGGCUCAUCAAGGCGACGAUACAUAGCCGACCUGAGAGGGUGAUCGGCCACACUGGGACUGAGACACGGCCCAGACUCCUACGGGAGGCAGCAGUAGGGAAUCUUCGGCAAUGGACGGAAGUCUGACCGAGCAACGCCGCGUGAGUGAAGAAGGUUUUCGGAUCGUAAAGCUCUGUUGUAAGAGAAGAACGAGUGUGAGAGUGGAAAGUUCACACUGUGACGGUAUCUUACCAGAAAGGGACGGCUAACUACGUG
rnacentral:rRNA from 1 species